rnacentral:rRNA from 1 species
CAGCUCGUGUCGUGAGAUUGUUCGGUUAAGUCCGACUAACGAGCGCCAACCCUCGCUGUAUGUUACAUGUGUCAUACAGGACCGCCGGUAUCAAGCCGGAGGAAGGUGGGGAUGACGUCAAGUCCGCAUGGCCUUUAUGUCCGGGGCUACACACACGCUACAAUGGUCGGUACAAUGGGUUGCUAAGCCGCGAGGUGGAGCCAAUCCCCCAAAGCCGGCCUCAGUUCAGAUUGCAGGCUGCAACUCGCCUGCGUGAAGCUGGAGUUGCUAGUAAACGCGCGUCAGCUAUAGUGCGUUGAAUACGUUCUCGGGCCUU